rnacentral:rRNA from 1 species
GACGGGGCCCGCACAAGCGGUGGAGCAUGUGGUUUAAUUCGAAGCAACGCGAAGAACCUUACCAGGUCUUGACAUCCCCUGACAACCCGAGAGAUCGGGCGUUCCCCUUCGGGGGACAGGGUGACAGGUGGUGCAUGGUUGUCGUCAGCUCGUGUCGUGAGAUGUUGGGUUAAGUCCCGCAACGAGCGCAACCCUCGACCUUAGUUGCCAGCAUUCAGUUGGGCACUCUAAGGUGACUGCCGGCUAAAAGUCGGAGGAAGUGGGGAUGACGUCAAAUCAUCAUGCCCCUUAUGACCUGGGCUACACACGUGCUACAAUGGGCGGUACAAAGGGUCGCGAACCCGCGAGGGGGAGCCAAUCCCAAAAAGCCGCUCUCAGUUCGGAUUGCAGGCUGCAACUCGCCUGCAUGAAGCCGGAAUCGCUAGUAAUCGCAGGUCAGCAUACUGCGGUGAAUACGUUCCCGGGCCUU